rnacentral:rRNA from 1 species
AGUGAACGCUGGCGGUAGGCCUAACACAUGCAAGUCGAGCGGCAGCACAGUAAGAGCUUGCUCUUACGGGUGGCGAGUGGCGGACGGGUGAGGAAUACAUCGGAAUCUACUUUUUCGUGGGGAUAACGUAGGGAAACUUACGCUAAUACCGCAUACGACCUACGGGUGAAAGCAGGGGAUCUUUGGACCUUGCGCGAUUGAAUGAGCCGAUGUCGGAUUAGCUAGUUGGCGGGGUAAAGGCCCACCAAGGCGACGAUCCGUAGCUGGUCUGAGAGGAUGAUCAGCCACACUGGAACUGAGACACGGUCCAGACUCCUACGGGAGGCAGCAGUGGGGAAUAUUGGACAAUGGGCGCAAGCCUGAUCCAGCCAUACCGCGUGGGUGAAGAAGGCCUUCGGGUUGUAAAGCCCUUUUGUUGGGAAAGAAAAGCAGCAGGUUAAUACCCCGCUGUUCUGACGGUACCCAAAGAAUAAGCACCGGCUAACUUCGUG